rnacentral:lncRNA from 1 species
CCCCUACACCAAACCACCCACCCACUGUACCCUACGCCUAAAUAAAAAAUAUAUAUAAAAAUAAAAAAACACAAACCGUUGGCAUUGUCGGCCCCACCAUGGCCACCACACACAUAAUGCCGGAGAAACCACCGGAUCUUAACACCACCAACACCACCUCAUCCCACUCUUCAAACCCAUAACAAAAAACAGUUUAAAUUCUUCGAUUCUAUCAUCUUCAUCCUUCAAUAUCUUCCUUAUUACUACCAUUUUCCGAAACAUCAGUCGAUAAACUAUAUUUUUGCUAUCUUUGAGCAGCCGUUGCCUCUUCCAGCAAACGGCAUGGCUCAAGCCGCCUACAAAUCUAUGAAAAUGUUUCUUGAAUCUCAUCCAGGUCCUUCUCCGGCGAACGAAAUUUUCCAGCACCCAGAUUUCCCACGAAACAGCGUCAGCUUCGCAUUACGCAUAAGCAUCUGGAUUUGCCACCUACAGCAGAGGCUCAAGAAUCGAUCCAACAUGAUGCUCAAUUUGGAUUAAAAUGGGUUCAGAAAAAGGAUUGUUUAAGCGAAAAUAGGAUCUAAAAAAGGGAAUUUUUUAAGUUGAUUACUAAAAAUGAAAUGGGUUUCUUGGAUAGUGAGAUUGAGAGAAGAAGAUGAAAGGGGAAAAGGGUUGAGAAGGUGAAAAAUUGAUUUUCAAACAGCAAAUAAUUAGUUACAAUGUGACUACAUGUAAUAAAGUGAUGGUAGAGGUAACUGGUUGUGGUGACGUUGUCUUGAUGUUUUCCAGCGAAGAGAUGAAGGAGAUGACCGAGAGGAAGAGUUUCGG